AAGAUUUCUUAAACAGAACAGAGAAAACACUAACCAUAAAAGGAAAGGCAGAUACAUUGUAUCUCACUAAAAUGUAGAGCUGUAUUCAUUCAAAGACAGCAUUAAAGAGUACAGACCAAGCCACAACAAGGACUUUUUCAAGCAAGGACUUAUAGCCAGACAUAAAAAGAAGUCCUAUGAAUCAAUAAGGGAAAGACAGGUCCUCCUUAAAUUCUCAAGCAGAGGUAGUUUACUGUAUGCACUUCUUUGCUGCCAGAUAUCAGAGACCAUUUUAAGUCAGCAAACGCAAUAGGGAAAACGGCACUACAGAAGUGUACGUUGCUCAGCAAUAUUUGAGUUGUUGCAACAUUCAAUUAUCCACUUGGUUGUUAACAGAAACAUUAUCAAGUGAAGGUUGUGGCUGUAAUGGUUAUAUCGCCCAUGCUUCCAACCCUGGUACUGUCUUUAUGUGCCAGGUUUUAACAGCCUUGAGCCUGGGCAGUUGCUCAGGCUUUUUACAAGAAACGUGAUGUACUUGCAUGAAGCCGGUGAGUUUUGAGAGAUCAUUAAUGUCCUUGAAGUGGUUUUGUGGGUGUGAAACAAAUAGUAAAUUUGAAAUUAAGUCUGCCUGACUCAGUGAGCCAGUUCAUGCCCCGGUUUUUUAUACUUGUGUCUGUCAGCAAACACUGUGAUACCUGAUGGAAAAGAAGAGAAGACUGACCAGCCGCUGCGCCAGCCAAAGGGUCAGAAGCAUAUGAAAAGGUGAAGAGUGUACGCCAGGGAAAUGCAAACUAAGAACCACAGUGAGGCACUGGCCACCAGCACGGCUGACAUUGAUGAGACUGACAUUUACCCAGCGCUGGAAAAGAGAUGGAACAAGCAAGACUGUCAUACGUGGCUGGUACGAAGCAAGUUGGCACAAUCAUAUUCGAAAACAGGUCAAACUUAUGCCUCCCCUAAGCCCAGAACUCCCUCUCCUAAGUAUAUCUCCAUGAGAAAUGAGUGCAUGAAACUCAUGGAGACACACAUGGGAAAUUAACUGCAGCUUUAUUCACAGGAACCCCAGAUGUUAGACUGGAAAUAGCCUAAAUAUCAAUCAACUGGAGACCAGAUAAGCCGCGGUAGUAUGUCCACACGAUGACAUACUACGCAACAGUGAGAGGCAACAAGCCAUCGCUACGCUCACCCGCACGGUGAGGCCCACACACAAGUUGCUGAGUGGACGAAGCCAGAGCAAUACAGUGCCUGGGAGUCUGACUUCAUUUACACAAGUUCAACAGGCAAACCUUCCUAAUGACGGAGAUCCUUGUGGAGGCGACUGACAAGGACAGCGGCUGGAGCACAGACUCUGCCACCGGCUCCCAGAUCAGGACCCAGGGCCAGGUGCACGCAUGGGCCACCAGGGCUGGAAGGUCUGAGACCCACCUGGGGAAGCCAAGGGCUGCUUGGGAGUUGGCAGCUUCUCCUGGCAGAUAAGGAAAAGAAUGAUUUCCGGGAUCUCCUUCAGAUUGAAGUAAGUGGAAAGCUUGAUUGCUUCAUCCCAAGAUGCAGGAUUCUGGAGGGACGGCGCGAGCUGCACGUGAUUGCCGACCCGCCCCGUCCUGAACAGCUGUGGUUAGCCUUUCAGGCUCUCGAUGUCAGAUUUCUUUUCCCUAAAGACUAUUCUUACUUUUUAUCUCCUCAUCUGCUGUUUGGAUUAGGUUAUUUACUGUUUCUACGCAUUAAUUUCCUCUAAUGAUGGUACAGACUGAAUGUUUGUUUCCCCCCAAAAUUCAUAUGUUGAAGCCUAAUGCCCAGUGUAAUGGUAUUUGAAAGUGGGGGAGGUAGUUAGGUCAUGAAGGCAGAGCCCUCAUGAAUGGGAUUGGUGCCCUUAUUUUAAAAAAAGACCCCACAGAGACCCCUCACCAAUUCCACUAUGUGAGGACACAAUGAGAAGGUCUAUAAACCAGAAAGUGCCCUGUAAAUGGAAGUUACAAAGGAAAACAUGAGCGAAUAGAGACUAUACCAUGCUCAUGUAUUGAAUAAAAAAGGGCCAAGACAAUUUUAAAGAAUAAUAUAGAGAACUUGCCUACCUGAUAUUUGUCAAAAAUCCAUUGGAACUGAGAGAAUGUGACAGGGUCGCAGGUUAGAGACGGACAGCAAUGGAACAAUGGGGGUUUGCCCAGGACCGUCCCGUGUGUGAUGCAUGAUAGAGGAGGAGUCAGAGGUGGGCUGGCUAAUGAAUGGCUAACACUGACUACCUACAUGGGAAACCAAAGGAAAUUAAUUCCAUGUUGCACAACAAACACAACAAAAUUCAGAUAGAUUAGAGGCUUAAUUGUAAGAAGCAGCAAGAAAAAAUCCUUAGAAGAAAAUAUAGGGAAAUAAUAAACCUCAGAAUAGAGAAGGAUUUUUUAGACAAGACACAAAAAGCAUAAACCAUACAGGAAAUGAUGCAUUUAAGUUUUUUAUGCCAUGAAAGAAAGAAAAGGUAAAUGAGACUGCAGCCUAGAAGAUAUUUGCCACAAAGAGGAAAGACAGACCAUAAUCCAAGAAGUAUAAAGAUUCCUGUAAAACUACAAAAAGAAGAAAAAAGGCAACUAGAAGAAAAAUAUAGAAUUACCAUAUGACCCAGCAGUUCUACUCCUGGAUAUCUACCCAAGAGAAAUAAAAACAUGUAUCCUUGUAAAAA